AUGCUGCUCCUUCAUUCAGCUCCCAGGCCACAGUUUUCAAAUUCACCAUCUCUGAGACAGGCCAGGGUCCAGGAGAGUAUACCACAGGAAGUACAAGUAAUGGAUCACAAUGCCUACAACGUUUUCUCAUUUGGUUUUGAAAAAAUAAUGUGUAUCUGUAUGUGUGUGUGCAGGGAACGUGUGGAGAGAGAGAUUCUUUAAUAAAGAAGUUGUGUCAAACAUUAACAGUUGGGAAAUCUGGCUGAAGGCUUACUGGACUCCUUUCUAUUAU
rnacentral:lncRNA from 1 species